GUCCUACGGGACGCAGCAGUAGGGAAUAUUGCUCAAUGGGGGAAACCCUGAAGCAGCAACGCCGCGUGGAGGAUGAAGGUUUUAGGAUUGUAAACUCCUUUUGUUAGAGAAGAUUAUGACGGUAUCUAACGAAUAAGCACCGGCUAACUUCGAGCCAGCAGCCGCGGUAAUACGGAGGGUGCCGGCGUUACUCGGAAUCACUGGGCGUAAAGAGUGCGUAGGCGGGGUAAAAAGUCAGAUGUGAAAUCCUGUAGCUUAACUACAGAACUGCAUUUGAAACUGUUACUCUGGAGUGUGGGAGAGGG
rnacentral:rRNA from 1 species